GCUCAGAACGAACGCUGGCGGCAGGCCUAACACAUGCAAGUCGAGCGCACCUUCGGGUGAGCGGCGGACGGGUGAGUAACGCGUGGGAACGUACCCUUUUCUGCGGAAUAGCCACUGGAAACGGUGAGUAAUACCGCAUACGCCCUUCGGGGGAAAGAUUUAUCGGAGAAGGAUCGGCCCGCGUUGGAUUAGGUAGUUGGUGGGGUAAUGGCCUACCAAGCCUACGAUCCAUAGCUGGUUUGAGAGGAUGAUCAGCCACACUGGGACUGAGACACGGCCCAGACUCCUACGGGAGGCAGCAGUGGGGAAUCUUAGACAAUGGGCGCAAGCCUGAUCUAGCCAUGCCGCGUGAGUGAAGAAGGCCUUAGGGUCGUAAAGCUCUUUCGCUGGGGAAGAUAAUGACUGUACCCAGUAAAGAAACCCCGGCUAACUCCGUGCCAGCAGCCGCGGUAAUACGGAGGGGGUUAGCGUUGUUCGGAAUUACUGGGCGUAAAGCGCGCGUAGGCGGAUCAGAAAGUUGGGGGUGAAAUCCCGGGGCUCAACCUCGGAACUGCCUCCAAAACUCCUGGUCUUGAGUUCGAGAGAGGUGAGUGGAAUUCCGAGUGUAGAGGUGAAAUUCGUAGAUAUUCGGAGGAACACCAGUGGCGAAGGCGGCUCACUGGCUCGAUACUGACGCUGAGGUGCGAAAGUGUGGGGAGCAAACAGGAUUAGAUACCCUGGUAGUCCACACCGUAAACGAUGAAUGCCAGUCGUCGGCAAGCAUGCUUGUCGGUGACACACCUAACGGAUUAAGC
rnacentral:rRNA from 1 species